GAUUUUUUAUUCUGCUCAGGAUGAACGCGGGCGGCGUGCCUAAUACAUGCAAGUCGAGCGAACAGACAAGGAGCUUGCUCCUUUGACGUUAGCGGCGGACGGGUGAGUAACACGUGGGUAACCUACCUAUAAGACUGGGAUAACUUCGGGAAACCGGAGCUAAUACCGGAUAAUAUUUCGAACCGCAUGGUUCGAUAGUGAAAGAUGGUUUUGCUAUCACUUAUAGAUGGACCCGCGCCGUAUUAGCUAGUUGGUAAGGUAACGGCUUACCAAGGCGACGAUACGUAGCCGACCUGAGAGGGUGAUCGGCCACACUGGAACUGAGACACGGUCCAGACUCCUACGGGAGGCAGCAGUAGGGAAUCUUCCGCAAUGGGCGAAAGCCUGACGGAGCAACGCCGCGUGAGUGAUGAAGGUCUUCGGAUCGUAAAACUCUGUUAUUAGGGAAGAACAUACGUGUAAGUAACUAUGCACGUCUUGACGGUACCUAAUCAGAAAGCCACGGCUAACUACGUGCCAGCAGCCGCGGUAAUACGUAGGUGGCAAGCGUUAUCCGGAAUUAUUGGGCGUAAAGCGCGCGUAGGCGGUUUUUUAAGUCUGAUGUGAAAGCCCACGGCUCAACCGUGGAGGGUCAUUGGAAACUGGAAAACUUGAGUGCAGAAGAGGAAAGUGGAAUUCCAUGUGUAGCGGUGAAAUGCGCAGAGAUAUGGAGGAACACCAGUGGCGAAGGCGACUUUCUGGUCUGUAACUGACGCUGAUGUGCGAAAGCGUGGGGAUCAAACAGGAUUAGAUACCCUGGUAGUCCACGCCGUAAACGAUGAGUGCUAAGUGUUAGGGGGUUUCCGCCCCUUAGUGCUGCAGCUAACGCAUUAAGCACUCCGCCUGGGGAGUACGACCGCAAGGUUGAAACUCAAAGGAAUUGACGGGGACCCGCACAAGCGGUGGAGCAUGUGGUUUAAUUCGAAGCAACGCGAAGAACCUUACCAAAUCUUGACAUCCUUUGACAACUCUAGAGAUAGAGCCUUCCCCUUCGGGGGACAAAGUGACAGGUGGUGCAUGGUUGUCGUCAGCUCGUGUCGUGAGAUGUUGGGUUAAGUCCCGCAACGAGCGCAACCCUUAAGCUUAGUUGCCAUCAUUAAGUUGGGCACUCUAAGUUGACUGCCGGUGACAAACCGGAGGAAGGUGGGGAUGACGUCAAAUCAUCAUGCCCCUUAUGAUUUGGGCUACACACGUGCUACAAUGGACAAUACAAAGGGCAGCGAAACCGCGAGGUCAAGCAAAUCCCAUAAAGUUGUUCUCAGUUCGGAUUGUAGUCUGCAACUCGACUACAUGAAGCUGGAAUCGCUAGUAAUCGUAGAUCAGCAUGCUACGGUGAAUACGUUCCCGGGUCUUGUACACACCGCCCGUCACACCACGAGAGUUUGUAACACCCGAAGCCGGUGGAGUAACCAUUUGGAGCUAGCCGUCGAAGGUGGGACAAAUGAUUGGGGUGAAGUCGUCAAAGGGG
rnacentral:rRNA from 1 species